GGAUACAAUUAUACCAUCACUAAAGCACCAGAUCCCAUAAGAACUCCAAAGAUACGCGUGCUUGGGUGAGAGUAGUACUAGGAUGGAUGAGCUCCUGGUAAGUCCUCGUGUUUCAUUCC
rnacentral:rRNA from 1 species